GAGAAUUCCAACAAGCACUCAGCUUCAAAGCUUUGAUGCUUCUUCAUUUGCUGGUAAUGUGAAUCUCUGUGGGCCACCGGUCAUACGAAAUUGUCCUGGAGAUGAGAGGCCUCAAGUUGGACCAAGAAAAGAUGAUAGCCAAGACAACGAAGAAAACGAUGAUGAAUUGAGGAAAUGGUUUUUAGCCGGUUUGGGUUCUGGAUUCAGUA
rnacentral:misc_RNA from 1 species